GCUUCAUUGAGUCUGAUGGAGGAGGAAAAAGAGGAAUGAGGGCCGCACAACCACUAAACAUAACCAAAUGAACAGAUGGUGGGUGUGGUGUGCUGAUGAGAUGUCAUUACUGAUCAUUACCCUCUUCACUAACCCUGGCAAUCAAACAAUAAACACCACUGUGCAUUCCUGUGUUUCCAGCACAGGAGGACACACACUCCCUCAUCUACCCAAGCUUCAAUCAACCCUCACCAGAGAGAUGGGGCGAAGCUUGAGGUCCCCAGGGUCUGACGGCACGCUUCUGGGACCACGAGGACAUGAGAUGGUGGAGAUAGUGUGUGUGUUUAUGUUUUUGAGCAUGCUACACAAGAUCAAUCACGCAUUCAGACCUGACGGGACGCCAUCUGUUGCUCUGCAGAGCAGGGACUGCUUGGCAGGGCCGUAUGAAGGAAAUGAAGCACUUACACUUUGAGUCUAGAGAUAUAUCCGGAUGAGUUGUACAGGUAACAUGACGGAAAAUCGGUGACACCAAAACUGGACACCAAACUCGUCUCUGUGUCCAAAACCCUGCG